rnacentral:rRNA from 1 species
UACGUAGGGUGCAAGCGUUAAUCGGAAUUACUGGGCGUAAAGCGUGCGCAGGCGGCUAUGCAAGACAGAUGUGAAAUCCCCGGGCUCAACCUGGGAACUGCAUUUGUGACUGCAUGGCUAGAGUACGGUAGAGGGGGAUGGAAUUCCGCGUGUAGCAGUGAAAUGCGUAGAUAUGCGGAGGAACACCGAUGGCGAAGGCAAUCCCCUGGACCUGUACUGACGCUCAUGCACGAAAGCGGGGAGCAAACAGG